ACCUGGGUGGCUUAGUUGGUUAAGUGUUUGACUUUGGCUCAGGUCAUACAUGAGCUUACAGUUCGUGGGUUCAAGCCCCACAUUGGGCU
rnacentral:tRNA from 1 species